CACGUAGGGCGCAAGCGUUGUCCGGAAUUAUUGGGCGUAAAGAGCUCGUAGGCGGUCUGUUGCGUCCGCUGUGAAAACUCGGGGCUUAACCCCGAGCCUGCAGUGGAUACGGGCAGACUAGAGGUAGGUAGGGGAGAAUGGAAUUCCCGGUGUAGCGGUGAAAUGCGCAGAUAUCGGGAGGAACACCGGUGGCGAAGGCGACUAUCUGGGCUGCAACUGACGCUGAGGCGCGAAGGCUAGGGUAGCAAACAGG
rnacentral:rRNA from 1 species